AGAAUGGCUCUAGAUAUGUUGUUAUUGAAGGAGCAUGGAGUCUGUGGGUAUUUGAACAAAAGAAUUGACCACUGUUGCAUCCAUAUCCCAAAUGUAACAAUCGAGGUAGAAAAAGAUAUCUCCCAACUAGAAAUAGUGGAAUCUGGAACAAAGGAAAUUGAAAAGGAGGCCCAGCACAAUUGGAUAGGAGCCUUGUUAGACUCAAUGGGGCUUCAGGUUUCUGGUUAGAUAUCGUCAAUACUGCAAUAUAUAUUGUUGUUUGUGAUUGUACUAAUUGUUGCUUAGAUAGCAUAUAAGUGUGUUUUAGGAAUAAUAACCAAGGAAACAAGACGAACCCGAAGAUUGGUAAAAGCUAUAGGAAGAAACUACGGAUUGGGAAUUCCCCCGCCUAAAUACGAAGAGGUGGCCCUUCCUGCCCUUCCUAGAAGAACCGAAGCUGAAGGUUGAGCAUCCUUGCAGAAGAUCUGAAGAAUGCUCAAAAGGGGGGACUUGUUGCAGAAAUGAUUGAAACUUAUAUUCUAGUUAACAGAUGCCUAGAUUAGUGAAACAAUAUAAAGUUAGCAUAAGUAGCAGUAGUUAUGCUAAGGCCUCAUAGGCCCGGUAAACUUCAAGUGAACUUUAGUGCUUUAGUGCCAGGUAGAUCGGAAGAUGUAUUAUCUAGAAAAUGUACUAAACCUUAUCUAUGGAAUGCACCUUUUGGCUGAGUAACGGAUGUCAGGGUGUACCUAAUAAAUCUCUGUAUGCUAUCUCUAAAAGUGUGCAGGGAGAUGUUGGAUAUAUAAACCCUGUAAAUUCUGUGGCAAAUUGGGGCUCUGACUUUGGACAAUAGUCCUCAGGUCCCCAGGGCCCUCAAUAAAGCACCGCAUAAAACAA